rnacentral:rRNA from 1 species
GACGAACGCUGGCGGCGUGCUUAACACAUGCAAGUCGAACGGAAAGGCCCUGCUUUUGUGGGGUGCUCGAGUGGCGAACGGGUGAGUAACACGUGAGUAACCUGCCCUUGACUUUGGGAUAACUUCAGGAAACUGGGGCUAAUACCGUAUAGGAGCUCCUGCUGCAUGGUGGGGGUUGGAACGUUUCGGCGGUUGGGGAUGGACUCGCGGCUUAUCAGCUUGUUGGUGGGGUAGUGGCUUACCAAGGCUUUGACGGGUAGCCGGCCUGAGAGGGUGACCGGCCACAUUGGGACUGAGAUACGGCCCAGACUCCUACGGGAGGCAGCAGUGGGGAAUAUUGCACAAUGGGCGGAAGCCUGAUGCAGCAACGCCGCGUGCGGGAUGACGGCCUUCGGGUUGUAAACCGCUUUCGCCUGUGACGAAGCGUGAGUGACGGUAAUGGGUAAAGAAGCACCGGCUAACUACGU